CCGUAUUUUCUUUAUAAGGUUUAAAUUAACCUCAGCUCUAUAUACAUUGAAUCAAUACAGUAGGGCACAGUUCGACAUUGUUCAUUUUCUGAUAAACUUCCUGCUUUUUUAAAGAACCUGACCCGGAAGAAGACUGGAUGUUAACACCAGAAACACCAUCAACAGAAGACCAGAAUGAUAUUAAAACAUCCUAGAGACACCACAAGUAAGAACAACAAGCCAAAAUACAGAUUGAGCGAAAAGACAAAGUGCGAACACCAAAAGAUGUGCUCAAUAUUAUCAGGAUGGACAACAGUUUAUGCUUUUGAUAAAGCAGUCAUGCCAAGGAAGAGUUUAGCAUGUAACCAGCAAAGUUCAUCCUUGUCUUCAACACUAUGGUGACAACAAUUAAUACAUGUAUGAUAAAGUAAUAAAUAAGAAUUAUA